rnacentral:rRNA from 1 species
UGGCGGCGUGCCUAACACAUGCAAGUCGAGCGGCAGCGCGGGGCAACCUGGCGGCGAGCGGCGGACGGGUGAGUAACGCUUGGGAAUCUGCCUAUUAGUGGGGGACAACCCGGGGAAACUCGGGCUAAUACCGCAUACGCACUACGGUGGAAAGCCGGGGACCGCAAGGCCUGGCGCUAAUAGAUGAGCCCAAGUCGGAUUAGCUAGUUGGUAGGGUAAUGGCCUACCAAGGCGACAAUCCGUAGCUGGUCUGAGAGGACGACCAGCCACACCGGAACUGAGACACGGUCCGGACUCCUACGGGAGGCAGCAGUGGGGAAUAUUGGACAAUGGGGGCAACCCUGAUCCAGCGACGCCGCGUGGGUGAAGAAGGCCUGCGGGUUGUAAAGCCCUUUCGGUGGGGAAGAAAAGUUUCGACCUAACACGUCGGGACCCUGACGUAACCCACUAAAGAAGCACCGGCUAACUCUGUGCCAGCAGCCGCGGUAAUACAGAGGGUGCGAGCGUUAAUCGGAAUUACUGGGCGUAAAGCGCGCGUAGGCGGCUUUGCAAGCCGGAUGUGAAAUCCCCGGGCUUAACCUGGGAACUGCAUUCGGGACUGCAUUGCUAGAGUAUGGGAGAGGGAAGUGGAAUU